UGGGCAACCUGCCCGCAAGACCGGGAUAACUCCGGGAAACCGGAGCUAAUACCGGAUAACACCGAAGACCGCAUGGUCUUCGGUUGAAAGGCGGCCUUUGGGCUGUCACUUGCGGAUGGGCCCGCGGCGCAUUAGCUAGUUGGUGAGGUAACGGCUCACCAAGGCGACGAUGCGUAGCCGGCCUGAGAGGGUGACCGGCCACACUGGGACUGAGACACGGCCCAGACUCCUACGGGAGGCAGCAGUAGGGAAUCUUCCGCAAUGGGCGAAAGCCUGACGGAGCGACGCCGCGUGAGCGAAGAAGGCCUUCGGGUCGUAAAGCUCUGUUGUGAGGGACGAAGGAGCGCCGUUCGAAGAGGGCGGCGCGGUGACGGUACCUCACGAGAAAGCCCCGGCUAACUACGUGCCAGCAGCCGCGGUAAUACGU
rnacentral:rRNA from 1 species